rnacentral:rRNA from 1 species
GUGGGGAAUAUUGGACAAUGGGGGGAACCCUGAUCCAGCCAUGCCGCGUGUGUGAAGAAGGCCUUUUGGUUGUAAAGCACUUUAAGCGAGGAGGAGGCUACCGAGAUUAAUACUCUUGGAUAGUGGACGUUACUCGCAGAAUAAGCACCGGCUAACUCUGUGCCAGCAGCCGCGGUAAUACAGAGGGUGCAAGCGUUAAUCGGAUUUACUGGGCGUAAAGCGCGCGUAGGUGGCCAAUUAAGUCAAAUGUGGAAUCCCCGAGCUUAACUUGGGAAUUGCAUUCGAUACUGGUUGGCUAGAGUAUGGGAGAGGAUGGUAGAAUUCCAGGUGUAGCGGUGAAAUGCGUAGAGAUCUGGAGGAAUACCGAUGGCGAAGGCAGCCAUCUGGCCUAAUACUGACACUGAGGUGCGAAAGCAUGGGGAGCAAACAGGAUUAGAAACCCGGGUAGUCC